GGGUGUAUGAGCUCAGUGGUAAAGCUUCAGAUUUUAGAUCUGUAGGUCGCCGGUUCAAAUCCGGCUGUACCCU